rnacentral:rRNA from 1 species
UACGUAGGUGGCAAGCGUUAUCCGGAAUUAUUGGGCGUAAAGCGCGCGUAGGCGGUUUUUUAAGUCUGACGUGAAAGCCCACGGCUCAACCGUGGAGGGUCAUUGGAAACUGGAAAACUUGAGUGCAGAAGAGGAAAGUGGAAUUCCAUGUGUAGCGGUGAAAUGCGCAGAGAUAUGGAGGAACACCAGUGGCGAAGGCGACUUUCUGGUCUGUAACUGACGCUGAUGUGCGAAAGCGUGGGGAUCAAACAGGAUUAG